rnacentral:piRNA from 1 species
UACACAUGCAGAGACCCAUUUCUUCUAAC